rnacentral:tRNA from 1 species
GUUUUCGUAGUGUAGUGGUUAUCACGUUUGCCUCACACGCUAAAGGCCCCCGGUUCGAACCCGGGCGAAAACA